rnacentral:rRNA from 1 species
AGUUCCCUGGAACGGGACGCCAUAGAGGGUGAGAGCCCCGUCUGGUUGGACGCCGAACCUCUGUAAAGCUCCUUCGACGAGUCGAGUAGUUUGGGAAUGCUGCUCUAAAUGGGAGGUAUAUGUCUUCUAAAGCUAAAUACCGGCCAGAGACCGAUAGCGCACAAGUAGAGUGAUCGAAAGAUGAAAAGAACUUUGAAAAGAGAGUUAAACAGUACGUGAAAUUGUUGAAAGGGAAGCGCUUGUGACCAGACUUGGGCUUGGUUGAUCAUCCGGGGUUCUCCCCGGUGCACUCUUCCGGCUCAGGCCAGCAUCAGUUCGCCCUGGGGGAUAAAGGCAUCGGGAACGUGGCUCUCUCCGGGGAGUGUUAUAGCCCGUUGCGUAAUACCCUGUGGCGGACUGAGGUUCGCGCAUUCGCAAGGAUGCUGGCGUAAUGGUCAUCAGUGACCCGUCUUGAAACACGGACCAAGGAGUCGUCUUCGUAUGCGAGUGUUCGGGUGUCAAACCCCUACGCGAAAUGAAAGUGAACGCAGGUGAGAGCUUCGGCGCAUCAUCGACCGAUCCUGAUGUAUUCGGAUGGAUUUGAGUAAGAGCAUACGGGGCCGGACCCGAAAGAAGGUGAACUAUGCCUGUGUAGGGUGAAGCCAGAGGAAACUCUGGUGGAGGCUCGCAGCGGUUCUGACGUGCAAAUCGAUCGUCAAACAUGGGCAUGGGGGCGAAAGACUAAUCGACUC